UACAGAGGGUGCGAGCGUUAAUCGGAAUUACUGGGCGUAAAGCGUGCGUAGACGGCUAUCUAAGUCGGGUGUGAAAGCCCCGGGCUCAACCUGGGAAUUGCAUUCGAGACUGAAUAGCUAGGGUACGGUAGAGGGAAGUGGAAUUUCCGGUGUAGCGGUGAAAUGCGUAGAUAUCGGAAGGAACAUCAGUGGCGAAAGCGACUUCCUGGACCAGUACCGACGUUCAGGCACGAAAGCGAGGGAGCAAACAGG
rnacentral:rRNA from 1 species